UGACAACACCAAUUCAAAAAAUAAAAAUGUAAACAAAUUAAUAAAAUAUAAAGCGGCCAACUGACCGGUGAUCAGUCUAGUAAGGUAACAUAACAAUCUAAUUCUAAGGCAAAGAUUUUGCCGAGGCAUUACGAGCAACCCAAUAUACUUUGAAGUUCUCUUUACGAAGGAGGAACCUAACUGAGAUAUAAGGAGAAGCACGUAAAAUCCGCGAGAUAGUCGCAGUUAAAACCUUACGAAGGGGGAAGUCCAACUAUCGACACGAAGCCUUAUAGUUUCGAGGGGAAAGGAAAAAGUAUUGUUCCAAAUUUCCCAACCACCAUAUGGGGGGGGACUGAAUGAUAUUUCUUUUAUAUAUAGAGAGACAGCCACUUAACACAGACAAACGUUCACUUCACAGAUGAAUUUAUUUACACAUGCAGAUGAUAUGCACACUACAUUAGCCUUUCCUUUCCUUGGGACACU
rnacentral:lncRNA from 1 species